AGCGAACGCUGGCGGCAUGCCUAACACAUGCAAGUCGCACGGGGGGGCUUCGGCCUCCCAGUGGCGGACGGGUGAGGAACGCGUAGGGACCUGUCGAGGGGUGGGGGAUAACCGCGGGAAACUGCGGCUAAUACCGCAUGACGCCGCGGCGUGACAGCCGGGGCCAAAGGCGAAAGCCGCCCGCCGAGGGGCCUGCGUCCGAUUAGCUGGUUGGCGGGGUAGCGGCCCACCAAGGCGUCGAUCGGUAGCUGGUCUGAGAGGGUGAUCAGCCACACCGGGACUGGGACACGGCCCGGACUCCUACGGGAGGCAGCAGUGGGGAAUAUUGGACAGUGGGCGCAAGCAUGAUCCAGCAAUGCCGGGUGGGUGAAGAAGGUCUUCGGAUUGUAAAGCCCUUUCGGCGGGGACGAUGGUGACGGUACCCGCAGAAGAAGCCCCGGCUAACUUCGUG
rnacentral:rRNA from 1 species